CUAAAGGUUUUAUUUAAAACCAUACAUUUUAUUUAUAAAAGUUUU
rfam:Chaetura pelagica isolate M959 contig31895, whole genome shotgun sequence.